CUCACCAGGAAAAACUGCUACAUUGAGAUCUCCAUAUGUGUUUUAUGUGAUGAUGAGCCUAAUGAAUACAUGAAACAUCUCUUCUUCUCAUGUGAUUUUAGCCAAAACUUUUGGUUAUCACUUGGCUUUGAAUGGAACACUGAUUUAAACUGCAAUGAUAUGCUUCUUGAAACCAAAAACAGAACUCAGAUUCAGCUCUUUAAAGAAUGCCUAAUUGCUGGUUGUUGGACAAUCUGGAAACACAGAAACAGCAUCAUUUUUUAUAACAAGGAAAGGGACUUGAGCUACUGUAUUUCCUGCUUCAAGGAACAUUUUGGCACUAUCAUGAAAAGAGUCAAAGCUAGUUUAAAGGAGGGAAUGCAAAGCUGGUUGGACUAUUUGUGA
rnacentral:rRNA from 1 species